UGGGGAAUAUUGCACAAUGGGGGAAACCCUGAUGCAGCGACGCCGCGUGAGUGAAGAAGGUUUUCGAAUCGUAAAGCUCUGUCCUAUGGGAAGAUAAUGACGGUACCAUAGGAGGAAGCCCCGGCUAACUACGUGCCAGCAGCCGCGGUAAUACGUAGGGGGCAAGCGUUGUCCGGAAUCACUGGGCGUAAAGGGUUCGCAGGCGGAAAUGCAAGUCAGUUGUGAAAGGCAGAGGCUCAACCUCUGUAAGCAAUUGAAACUGUAUUUCUUGAGAUGUGGAGAGGCAAGUGGAAUUCCUAGUGUAGCGGUGAAAUGCGUAGAUAUUAGGAAGAAUACCGGUGGCGAAGGCGACUUGCUGGACACAAACUGACGCUGAGGAACGAAAGCGUGGGUAGCAAACAGG
rnacentral:rRNA from 1 species